rnacentral:rRNA from 1 species
UAUUGCACAAUGGGGGAAACCCUGAUGCAGCGACGCCGCGUGGGUGAAGAAGUAUUUCGGUAUGUAAAGCUCUAUCAGCAGGGAAGAAAAUGACGGUAGCUGAUUAAGAAGCCCCGGCUAACUACGUGCCGGAAGCCGCGGUAAUACGUAGGGGGCAAGCGUUAUCCGGAUUUACUGGGUGUAAAGGGAGCGUAGACGGCAGCACAAGUCUGGAGUGAAAUGCCGGGGCUUAACCCCGGAACUGCUUUGGAAACUGUGCAGCUAGAGUGCAGGAGAGGUAAGUGGAAUUCCUAGUGUAGCGGUGAAAUGCGUAGAUAUUAGGAGGAACACCAGUGGCGAGGGCGGCUUACUGGACUGUAACUGACACUGAGGCUCGAAAGCGUGGGGAGCAAACAGG